rnacentral:rRNA from 1 species
AUUGAACGCUGGCGGCAGGCCUAACACAUGCAAGUCGAGCGUAUGAAGGGAGCUUGCUCCUGGAUUCAGCGGCGGACGGGUGGGUAAUGCCUAGGAAUCUGCCUGGUAGUGGGGGAUAACGUCCGGAAACGGGCGCUAAUACCGCAUACGUCCUGAGGGAGAAAGUGGGGGAUCUUCGGACCUCACGCUAUCAGAUGAGCCUAGGUCGGAUUAGCUAGUUGGUGGGGUAAAGGCCUACCAAGGCGACGAUCCGUAACUGGUCUGAGAGGAUGAUCAGUCACACUGGAACUGAGACACGGUCCAGACUCCUACGGGAGGCAGCAGUGGGGAAUAUUGGACAAUGGGCGAAAGCCUGAUCCAGCCAUGCCGCGUGUGUGAAGAAGGUCUUCGGAUUGUAAAGCACUUUAAGUUGGGAGGAAGGGCAGUAAGUUAAUACCUUGCUGUUUUGACGUUACCAACAGAAUAAGCACCGGCUAACUUCGUG